GGCGGACGGGUGAGUAACGCGUAGGAAUCUACCUGGUAGUGGGGGACAACAUGGUGAAAACCAUGCUAAUACCGCAUACGCCCUAUGGGGGAAAGCGGGGGACCUUCGGGCCUCGCGCUAUCAGAUGAGCCUGCGUAGGAUUAGCUUGUUGGUGAGGUAAAGGCUCACCAAGGCGACGAUCCUUAGCUGGUCUGAGAGGAUGAUCAGCCACACUGGAACUGAAACGUCCAGACUCCUACGGGAGGCAGCAGUGGGGAAUAUUGCGCAAUGGGCGAAAGCCUGACGCAGCCAUGCCGCGUGUGUGAAGAAGGCCUUCGGGUUGUAAAGCACUUUCAAUUGGGAAGAAAGGUUGCGUGUUAAUAGCACGUAGCUGUGACGUUACCUUUAGAAGAAGCACCGGCUAACUCCGUGCCAGCAGCCGCGGUAAUACGGAGGGUGCGAGCGUUAAUCGGAAUUACUGGGCGUAAAGCGCGCGUAGGCGGUUUGCUAAGUCGGAUGUG
rnacentral:rRNA from 1 species